GCCGACGUAGCUCAACUGGUAGAGCAACUGACUUGUAAUCAGUAGGUUGGGGGUUCAAGUCCUCUUGUCGGCU
rnacentral:tRNA from 1 species